UACAGAGGGUGCGAGCGUUGUCCGGAAUCACUGGGCGUAAAGGGCGCGUAGGCGGCCUGAUGAGUAGGGGGUGAAAUCCUGCGGCUUAACCGCAGGGCUGCCUUCUAAACUGUCAGGCUCGAGCACAGUAGAGGCAGGUGGAAUUCCCGGUGUAGCGGUGGAAUGCGUAGAGAUCGGGAAGAACAUCAGUGGCGAAGGCGGCCUGCUGGGCUGUUGCUGACGCUGAGGCGCGACAGCGUGGGGAGCAAACAGG
rnacentral:rRNA from 1 species